UUGAACUCCUGGGCUCAAGUGCUCAGAUGAUCCUCCUGCCUUAGCCUUCCAAGUAGCUGGGGCUACAAGCACACACCACCACACCUGGCUCGUUUGUUUAUUUUUAUUUUUUUGUAGAUACAGAAUCUCACUAUGUUGCCCAGGCUGGUCUCAAACUCUUGGGCUCAAAUGAUUCUUCCUGCUUGGCCUUCCAAAGUGCUGGGAUUACAGACAUGAGCCACCGUGCCUGGCCACGUCAAGCCUUUUGCGUGCAGUAGAUGAGCGGUUCUCAAAGUGUGGCCCCUGGACCUGCAGCAUUAGUAUUACCUCGGAGCUCGUCAGUAACGCAAACUCUGAAUGAUAAUUGUGAAGGUGGGGUCCAGCAGUCUGUGUUUGGAGGAGCCCCAGAGAUGGUUCCUGUCUAGUUCAUUUCAUUCUCACCACUGUGAGGCAGGCAGUGCAGUGGCCUUGAUUUUGUAGAUGCAGAAACUGAGGCAGAAGGAGGCAAAGUGACUUGCUGUGAGGACUGGAGCCCAGGCUGGUGUCAACCCAGAGCCCCAGUCUGGGACCCGCCUUCCGUGGUCCUCCCUGAAGCCAUCACCUUUCCUGGACAAGCUCCUAAAUGGGCUCAGGGCUUGUACUCUCCAAGAAGCCUUCAUGGAGGCCCCCGUUCCUCAGUCUCUGGAACGUUCCUCUUGCUCCUUAAUCACUGGUGCCUCACACCCCUGUUAAAGCACGUUUCCUCCUGGCCCACAAGCUCUCGGGGGUCGGGGGCACACGUUUGGUUUGUCUUGUCCCCUUCUCCCCUGCCAGGUGUGCUCCUUCCAUGCCUGGCACCCACAGGCCUCAUGGUGAAUGGCAGAGCAAGAGGAGGCCGGCUGCAGACCCCACUUGGGGCUGUGUCUGGGCCGGGCUGGGGGCGGCUGUGUGAAAGGCCGUCCUGUUUGAGCUGCUGCUGCUGUUCACGCCCGGCCCAUGUGCUCAUGUCCUGUGUGGGGCUUAGGUAAUGGGGCAGCAGGUGGCGGAACAGGGACCCGGGUGAGGCUGGCCCAGCCCUGCUGCAGGAUGAGCCGACUUUUCCAGGCCCCACUGAGUGCCGGUUCCUCCCACCGUCUGGCCCAGGUGCCAACACAAACAUGGGGCUCUUCCCUCCGGGGCUCUGGCUGUGGAGACCAGGGUCAGAAAACGGCACACAGGGCUCCCUUCACCUUGCCCAUGGGGAUUAACCCUUUGUACCCUGCUCUGACCUUAGGCCUGGGACACUGCAGAAGGGCAGUUGAAGCCAGGUGACUCGGUUUCCCCCAGGGCUCCACAGGCUUCUGGGGAUCUGGGGAGGUCACAGUGCUCUGUGUUUCUCAGGGCAUUGCUUGUUCACCUCCUCACCUGGCAGAUGGGGAAACUGAGACCUAGAAAAGAGAAGGUGGUCUCUUGCGGGGACUCUGUGAGCCCCCAGUUUCUACCCCGCUUCUCGUCUGUACGUUGGGCAUGGAAGCAGGAAUUCUGGACACACUAAACUGUUAGUUAGAGACCAUCAAACCACGAUCAUUCUGCCUGUGGGGAAGCUGAGGCGCAGAGAGGAAAAGGAACGUACCCAAGUUCCCAUCGCUGGUUGGCUGUGGGGCAAGGAUGAUGACGAUGAUGAUGAUGACGACGACAACCAUAAGAAUAAAA
rnacentral:lncRNA from 10 species